rnacentral:rRNA from 1 species
AGUGAACGCUGGCGGCAGGCCUAACACAUGCAAGUCGAGCGGCAGCGCGGGGGCAACCCUGGCGGCGAGCGGCGGACGGGUGAGGAAUUCGUCGGAAUCUGCCUUUUUGUGGGGGAUAACGUAGGGAAACUUACGCUAAUACCGCAUACGUCCUACGGGCGAAAGUGGGGGACCGCAAGGCCUCACGCAGAAAGAUGAGCCGACGACCGAUUAGCUAGUUGGUGGGGUAAAGGCCCACCAAGGCGACGAUCGGUAGCUGGUCUGAGAGGAUGAUCAGCCACACUGGGACUGAGACACGGCCCAGACUCCUACGGGAGGCAGCAGUGGGGAAUAUUGGACAAAGGGCGCAAGCCUGAUCCAGCCAUGCCGCGUGUGUGAAGAAGGCCUUCGGGUUGUAAAGCACUUUUGUCCGGAAAGAAAUCCCUGGAGCUAAUACCUUCGGGGGAUGACGGUACCGGAAGAAUAAGCACCGGCUAACUUCGUG